UAGGGAAUAUUGGACAAUGGGUGAGAGCCUGAUCCAGCCAUGCCGCGUGCAGGAAGAAGGCGUUAUGCGUUGUAAACUGCUUUUUGCCAGGGGAUAAAAAGACCGUGCGCGGUUAAUUGAAGGUACCUGGUGAAUAAGCCACGGCUAACUACGUGCCAGCAGCCGCGGUAAUACGUAGGUGGCAAGCGUUGUCCGGAUUUAUUGGGUUUAAAGGGUGCGUAGAUGGCCCUGUAAGUCAGUGGUGAAAUAUCUCAGCUUAACUGAGAGGGUGCCAUUGAUACUGCAGGGCUUGAGUACAGAUGAGGUAGGCGGAAUUGACGGUGUAGCGGUGAAAUGCAUAGAUAUCGUCAAGAACACCGAUAGCGAAGGCAGCUUACCAAGCUGUAACUGACACUGAGGCACGAAAGUGUGGGGAUCAAACAGGAUUAGAUACCCACGUAGUCCCUGAGCGGGCUGGCAAGGCGCAU
rnacentral:rRNA from 1 species